GAUGAACGCUGGCGGCGUGCCUAAUACAUGCAAGUCGAGCGGACAGACGCUGAGCUUGCGCCUCUGACGUGAGCGGAACGCGUGAGAGAAACACGUGUAUCCCCUACCUAUCAUUCUGAUAUAAUCUCGGGAAUCCGGCGCAAAUCGCAUAUGAUCUCUUGCUCCGCGGUGUUCAAUGGUGAGUGACGGCUGUUUCGGCGGGUGGAGAUGGAUACGCGCCUUAUCAGCUUGUUGGUGGGGUAGCGGCUUACCAAGGCUAUGACGGGUAGCCGGCCUGAGAGGGUGACCGGCCACAUUGGGACUGAGAUACGGCCCAGACUCCUACGGGAGGCAGCAGUGGGGAAUAUUGCACAAUGGGCGGAAGCCUGAUGCAGCAACGCCGCGUGCGGGAUGACGGCCUUCGGGUUGUAAACCGCUUUCGCCUGUGACGAAGCGUGAGUGACGGUAAUGGGUAAAGAAGCACCGGCUAACUACGUG
rnacentral:rRNA from 1 species